UACCUCGCAAUGGAUCAGAGGAACAAUGUACAAUCUUAUAGGGACAUCUAUCAACCAUGAAUACCACCUUCCAGCGUGGUGUUUGUGUGUGUGUGUGUGUGUUUGAUGAUUAACCGGCCAAGUUUACAUGCAUAUAUCUGAAUAUUAACGACCUUAUUUCUGAUAGCAUAGAAUAACUGUAUGUGCUGCUGUGAAUAUGAGUGCUUUGUUUCACGCUUCUCUUGAACAAGAGAAAUAGAGACAUGAUAAUGAUAGGAUCCAGGAGGUAUGCACAUGAAUUAAUUUUCAAAUAGAUAUCAGUGUUUUAAAUGCAAUAACUUGAAGCUUUCCCUUCCCCACUUAAAAACUGAGUGAGAUUUAUCUUUAUAAUGUUUCAGUUAUGAUAAAAGAGAAACUAUCUGUGCAUACGAGUGAUUUGUUUCACACUUCUCUUAAACAAGAGAAAUAGAGACAUGAUAAUGAUAGGAUCCAGGAGGUAUGCACAUGAAUUAAUUUUCAAAUAGAUAUCAGUGUUUUAAAUGCAAUAUCUUGAAGCUUUCCCUUCCCCACUUAAAAACUGAGUGAGGUUUAUCUUUAUAAUGUUUCAGUUAUGAUAAAAGAGAAACUAUCUGUGC
rnacentral:lncRNA from 1 species